CUAUGAACUACAAAACCCAAAAGGAUUCACCAACUACUAGACCUAGGCUCUGAUACCACUUGAAGGAAAUUAUGUGAAAAACAUGUUCAUUUAAGCAACAUCUAUAGCAUGCAAUUAACAAUUAAAAGGCGGAAUCAUGCUUGUAUGCACUUAAAAACAAAACAUUAACCAUGAAAUUCAAAGCCUAGUAGAUUGGUGAACCUUGACUCAACUUAAAACAACAUUUGUUAGUUGAGAAAUUACACCUUUGUAGAUUCCUCUUUGCAUAAGCAAAGGCUAAUCACCCAAGAGAGGGGCCUUCAUUCCUUGCAUCUUAGAUCUAUGGAUUUGGAUGGAUGAAAUGGUUCUCCAAGUUCCCAAAAUUGAGAACCUCUAAAGUCUCUUCACCAAGGUUAGAUUGGAGAAGAAAUGAGUGACCUUGGAGUAGUAGGAUUGCUAGCUAAACCCUCCAAGGAGGCCGGCGACUUUAGAGAGAAAGGAGAGAUUAUGUUCUCAUCCUUUCCCCAAAAGAAAACCCUAAAUGAAUUUUGGCUAUAAAGUUAUAUUUAUACCUUAAUUCAUUGGAGUGGCAAACUUGUAAAUAAGUCCAAAACUCACUCCAUCUCUAAAUGGCCGG
rnacentral:lncRNA from 1 species